CUUCCCAGCCUGUCCACCCUGGUUUUGCUGGCAGCAGGAAACCCUAUUUGGGGAACUUCAGAGAAGGCAUCGCAGAGAACUGUGGGGUGGGGGCUGGAGGGCAGGGAAGGGGCUGUCCCUUCUGGGGAUGAAUUUGGUAGGGACAGGCCUGACAAAAAAGAAUGUGAUGGAUCCUAGCCACUGUUCCAGCUGGGGCCGGUGGCUGGGGAGGGAUGGUUAGCCCCAAGGCUCAGGAGGGGAAACUGAAUCCAAGAACAGAGAGAAGCUUCUCCAAAAGGCUCAGAGGAAGUCGGUGGAAAAGCAGGUACAGCCCCCCACCCCCAGUCUCCUGUUCUGGAUCCCCUUAUGCUGAGCUCUACCUGGUGGUCACCAAGGGGUGGCCAUUAGAACUGGACUUGCCUGGCUACAGAUUGGAGGCCCCUCUGCAUCAGGCCAAGACCCACUGAGGAGAGCUCUCCUUUCUCCAAACCUCUGGCCCAGCCGGCUGCCGGGAUGAGGGCUGUAAUCAGGGCUAUUUCAAUCCAGGGCACAACCUCAGUCUGGCUCAGACAUGGGCAUGGCUCUGCUGCUGAUGACCACAGGGUCCAGAGGAGAACGGCAGGGGACUAAUACGAGAAAGAAGUCGGAGCACCUAUCCCAAUCCAGAAACACCCGCCCUCUGCCGUCAGAGAGGCCACACCUACUGAGAGUCUCGAGGACUUCCUAACCAGCAAGGUCAGGGAUGGCCACUGAGCUCAGCCUGCCCUUGACCAGACUGCCCUGGGAGGGCAUCUCAGAGAAGCUGCCUCCCGGGGGCAUCUCCCAGCCCUGCCUGCUCUGUGACCUCCGUCUUGGCCUGACUUCUCUUCUGUAAAGUGGAGAGGUAGGGAGAGAGGACCUCCAGAGCCUGAGCCCUGAUGCUCUGCAAAUCCAGACAGCUCCCUAUCUGUCCUUCAUCUCAGGCAGGUGCAGGCUCCAGAGAGUCCUUCUGACUUUGGCCCAGGUGACCUGUUGGAGCCUGUCCAAGGGAUGCUUGCCUUCCGGAAGCUGGCUCAUACACACAGGAGAUCUGAUCAUGCUGGGAGGGAUUCUCCAGACAAGAAUACUGAAGUGGGUUGAAGAAUACUGGAGUGGGUUGCCGUGCCCUUCUCCAGGGGAUCCUCCCAACCCAGGGACUGAACCCCGGUCUCCGGCAUUGCAGGCAGAUUCUUUACCAGCUGAGCUACCAGAGGU
ensembl:lncRNA